rnacentral:rRNA from 1 species
UACGGAGGGUGCAAGCGUUAUCCGGAUUCACUGGGUUUAAAGGGUGCGUAGGUGGGCAGUUAAGUCAGUGGUGAAAUCUCCGGGCUCAACCCGGAAACUGCCAUUGAUACUAUCUGUCUUGAAUAUCGUGGAGGUAAGCGGAAUAUGUCAUGUAGCGGUGAAAUGCUUAGAUAUGACAUAGAACACCAAUUGCGAAGGCAGCUUACUACCCGAAUAUUGACACUGAGGCACGAAAGCGUGGGGAUUAAACAGG